rnacentral:snRNA from 1 species
AGCUUUGCGCGGUGGCAGUGUCUUAGCCAAUGAGGUGUAUCUGAGGAGCGAUUACUGCUAAUUGAAAAACAGGAAAGCAACGGGAAAGUCAACUACCUUUUUACUAUUUGUUAUUAUUAUAUGCUUUGGAUA